rnacentral:tRNA from 1 species
UGGGGCAUAGCUCAGGGGUAGAAUGUGUGCUUUAGCAUGUGCAAGGUCCUGGGUUGGAUCCCCAGUACUACAA